CCAAACCCCAUACAAUUAUGUUUUCCACCAAUGCUGAGUCCUCCUCCGUUUUGAGCUGCUUCUUCCUUCUUCCUCACACUUCACAGAUCUGUUAUUCCCUAUUAUUAAACCCAGGAUGAGACAUUGCAUUGCUCUUUCUUCUUUCUUUGUCUUCCUUCUUCUUCUGCUUCAUGGAGCCUAGUGUGGAGACCCUUAUAGGUUCUUCACGACCCUUAUAGGUUCUUCACCUGGAAGUCACCUAUGGUGAUAUUUACCCUCUCGGUGUUAAGCAACAGGUGAUCUUGAUCAAUGGCCAGUUCCCUGGGCCUCACAUUGAUGCUAUUACUAAUGAUAACUUGAUUAUUACCGUGUUCAACUACCUUAGAGAGCCACUUCUCAUUUCUUGGAGACAACACUUAAAAGUGAUAUCAUCCUCUGCAUUCUGUCAUCUUGAAUAACACCAGGUGCCUUAAAUACCAGUGCAUCAAACACAGAGACAUCUUAGAUGCCUCUUGAAAUUUUAGACGCCAUGACGAAGUGUGGCGUACCAAAUACUUGAUCAGUUUCAUCAUUGUGCAGGAAUGGGUUACAGCAACGAAGGAAUUCAUGGCAAGGCACGGAGUGUUUGGAACAAACUGCCCUAUCCCACCUGGGAAGAACUUCACAUGCAAUUUGCUGGUGAAGGAUCAGAUUGGAAGCUAUUUCUACUUCCCGUCUCUUGGAAUGCAGAAAGCUGCAGGUGCAUUUGGUUCUCUCAGAAUCUGGGGCCGUCCUAAGAUUCCUGUCCCUUUCCCUUCUCCAACUGGUGACUUCCCUAUUCUUGUUGGAGACUGGUUCAAGACAGAUCACCGUGUAAAAAUUCCAUGACAUUCAUUUCAGUUUCUCCCUUUCUGUUAUUUGUUCUUUA